rnacentral:sRNA from 1 species
CUCGCUGAAUCUUCGGGCAACCGGAGAACGGGGGAACCAAUACGGAUUGUUGACUGAACGUUCCGUAUUUGAUUUCUUUAACGGGUCUUUGGGGUGAAUUCAAGGUCAUUGCGCCAUGAGCGGAUGAACUGAGAUAGGGCAGCUCUCUACGCCCGAACCCGACAGCUAACCUCGUAAGCGUAUGAAGAGAGA